AGAGUUUGAUCCUGGCUCAGGACGAACGCUGGCGGCGUGCCUAAUACAUGCAAGUCGAGCGAAUCAAUGGGAGCUUGCUCCCUGAGAUUAGCGGCGGACGGGUGAGUAACACGUGGGUAACCUGCCUGUAAGACUGGGAUAACUUCGGGAAACCGGAGCUAAUACCGGAUAGUUUCUUUUCUCGCAUGAGAGAAGAUGGAAAGAUGGUUUCGGCUAUCACUUACAGAUGGACCCGCGGCGCAUUAGCUAGUUGGUGAGGUAACGGCUCACCAAGGCAACGAUGCGUAGCCGACCUGAGAGGGUGAUCGGCCACACUGGGACUGAGACACGGCCCAGACUCCUACGGGAGGCAGCAGUAGGGAAUCUUCCGCAAUGGACGAAAGUCUGACGGAGCAACGCCGCGUGAGCGAAGAAGGCCUUCGGGUCGUAAAGCUCUGUUGUUAGGGAAGAACAAGUACGAGAGUAACUGCUCGUACCUUGACGGUACCUAACCAGAAAGCCACGGCUAACUACGUGCCAGCAGCCGCGGUAAUACGUAGGUGGCAAGCGUUGUCCGGAAUUAUUGGGCGUAAAGCGCGCGCAGGCGGUCCUUUAAGUCUGAUGUGAAAGCCCACGGCUCAACCGUGGAGGGUCAUUGGAAACUGGGGGACUUGAGUGCAGAAGAGAAGAGUGGAAUUCCACGUGUAGCGGUGAAAUGCGUAGAGAUGUGGAGGAACACCAGUGGCGAAGGCGACUCUUUGGUCUGUAACUGACGCUGAGGCGCGAAAGCGUGGGGAGCAAACAGGGUUAGAUACCCUGGUAGUCCACGCCGUAAACGAUGAGUGCUAAGUGUUAGAGGGUUUCCGCCCUUUAGUGCUGCAGCUAACGCAUUAAGCACUCCGCCUGGGGAGUACGGCCGCAAGGCUGAAACUCAAAGGAAUUGACGG
rnacentral:rRNA from 1 species